rnacentral:sRNA from 11 species
UUCCUUUUUAAUGCUACCACAAAUAAAGAAAUGCAAAUAAAAAACACAAAAAAUCGCAUCUUCAACCUAAAAGUAAAUAAACCAGCAUAAAGAAGGUAUCGUUUCAUCUUUUUAGAAAAUAUU